GCCCUGCACAGGUGGCUGUGUUUCUGGUGGACACCGGGGAUGCCAUGAGCCCUGAGCUGAGCCGAGAGACAAGGACCAAGCUGUGUGCCCUCAUCAUGAUGCUGAGCUCCUACCAGAUCCUCAACACUUCCCAGGAGCUGAUGGACACAGACCUCGAAUACCUGGAGGUGUUUGUCCACGUGGCUGAGGUGAUGGGCAGGCAUUAUGGGAUGGUGCCCAUCCAGCACCUGGAUCUCCUCGUUCGUGACUCAUCAACCAGGCA